rnacentral:rRNA from 1 species
GCAUAAUCAUUAGUUCUUUAAUUGGGGACUGGAAUGAAAGGUAGAAAUUUAAGAGGAAUGUUUUUAUUUAUAAUUUUGAAUUUAAAUUAAAAGUAAAAAUGCUUUUAUAAAAUUUUGGGACGAGAAGACCCUAGAAGUUUAAAAGUUAAAAUUUUUUAAUUGGGGAAAUUAUUGAAGAACAAUAUUUUUGAUUUUGGGGAUGGAAUUGAAUAAAUUACUCUAGGGAUAACAGCAUAAUUUAAUUGGCGAGUUCUUAUUAAUAAUUAAGUUUGUGACCUCGAUGUUGAAUUAAAU